GAAAGUAUUUCUUUUUUUUUUUUUUAAAUAAGAAUGUUUUAUCAUCACUAGCACCAUGUGCACCCAAGAAAUUGUUAGUGUUCCUGAUAGUUAUCCUAAAAUUAGAUGAAUCAGACCUGACAGAGAACUGCAGUACAGGGAGUGCUACAUUAAUUUCAACCACUCCUUUUUAUGUCCUGUCUAGCAAAACACAAACAAACAAAACAAUAAUCAAAGCACCCCCCCACACACACACCAUGAAUGUUUUAAGCAUUUUAAGAUGCAAAGUGUGUUGGGAGGAACAGCAGAAGGCAAGAGAACAAUGAAACAAUAAAAACUCUAUACUAACCAAAUCUUUCAACCUUAAAACAAUGAAAAGAUUGGGAGUUAGAAAAGCCAUUGUCUGCCAUUUGUACAGAAGGAGAGAGGGAAAUCAAUAUUUAUUUCUUGGAGAGUGCCAGCCCCAGCAUGUGGUAUUGAUACUUUCAACGGGAUAGAAAGGCUUUUCAUGACAAACCUUUCACUCUUCCACCAUUAGAGAAUCUGUGCAUUAGCUUGAAUAUUACCUGGCAACGUUGCUCUUGUUUAAUGUGUCCUUUUGGGGAGUUUUAUGUUGUUUUUAUCGAUGUUACCAGUAGAACAUUUUAAAUUGCUGUAGCUUUUUAAAUGCAAAUGAAUGAAUAAAUGAAAGGCUCCCACUGCCACAUGCAAACGCAUUUGCAACCAAAGGGUGCCUCAGCGAAGUCAUGCUGGCCCUGGGUGAUGGGACCUGCUUUAUCCACACCAAAAGCCUCAGGCAUUUGCUGUCUGCAGCACUUUCCAGAGAGUAAAGUCACCUGAAGGAAUAAUGUGACACACCCUUACAGCGCUCAACAUCCAACCAUCUGUGGGCUAUCCACGUGAAACUGGUGGGAAGAUUUUCAGCAGCCCUGGGAUGUUAUUAUCAGAGCAAUGAGGAAUUGAUUCCUCCACCCCUCGUUACCACCAGUCCUUCGAAGUCAGAUAUUGCCAAUCUAUGUCAAACUGGCUGGAGGCUUUUAGAGGCACACAAUGAUCACAACACAGCUGCCACAGAUUUCGUCAAUGCAAACAGAGUGUAUAAGGAUUUUUGUUGUACGAUAAAUAGUUUAACUAUCACAGACAGUGCAGUGCACAAAUAAAUAAAUAAAUGAGGUGACAAUCUAGAUGGUCUUAGAUAA
rnacentral:lncRNA from 1 species